UACGUAGGGUGCAAGCGUUGUCCGGAAUCAUUGGGCGUAAAGCGCGCGUAGGUGGUCCUGUCAGUCCGCUGUGAAAGUCAAAAGGCUCAACCUUUGAAAGCCGGUGGAUACUGCAGGACUAGAAGUACGGAAGAGGCGAGUGGAAUUCCUGGUGUAGCGGUGGAAUGCGUAGAUAUCGGGAGGAACAUCAGUGGCGAAGGCGGCCCUCUGGUCCAGUACUGACACUCAAGUGCGAAAGCGUGGGAGCAACAGGAUAGAAACCCGUUGUACAG
rnacentral:rRNA from 1 species